GACGAACCGUGCAACCGUUAUUCGGAAUCACUGGGCCUAAAGGGCGCGUAGGCGGCUUUCUAAGUCAGGGGUGAAAUCCGGCAGCUCAACUGUCGCAGUGCCUUUGAUACUGGAGAGCUCGAGGGAGGUAGGGGUCUGUGGAACUUCCGGUGGAGCGGUGAAAUGCGUUGAUAUCGGAAGGAACGCCGGUGGCGAAAGCGACGGACUGGAUCUCUUCUGACGCUGAGGCGCGAAAGCCAGGGGAGCAAACGGG
rnacentral:rRNA from 1 species